AUUGAACGCUGGCGGCAUGCCUUACACAUGCAAGUCGAACGGUAACAGGGAGCUUGCUCCGCUGACGAGUGGCGAACGGGUGAGUAAUGUAUCGGAACGUACCAUUCAGUGGGGGAUAACGUAGCGAAAGUUACGCUAAUACCGCAUAUUCUGUGCGCAGGAAAGCAGGGGAUCGCAAGACCUUGCGCUGAUUGAGCGGCCGAUAUCAGAUUAGCUAGUUGGUGAGGUAAAAGCUCACCAAGGCGACGAUCUGUAGCGGGUCUGAGAGGAUGAUCCGCCACACUGGAACUGAGACACGGUCCAGACUCCUACGGGAGGCAGCAGUGGGGAAUUUUGGACAAUGGGGGAAACCCUGAUCCAGCCAUUCCGCGUGUGCGAUGAAGGCCUUCGGGUUGUAAAGCUCUUUCAGCCGGGAAGAAAAUGCAUGGGUUAAUACCCUGUGCAGAUGACGGUACCGGAAUAAGAAGCACCGGCUAACUACGUG
rnacentral:rRNA from 1 species